CGGUUUGAUCCUGCCGGAGGCCGCUGCUAUCCGGCUGGGAACUAAGACAUGCGAGUCUAGGGGCUUGUACUCCUUCCGGGAGUACAAGCACCGGCGGACGGCUCAGUAACACGUGGACAACCUGCCCUCGGGUGGGGGAUAACCCCGGGAAACUGGGGCUAAUACCCCAUAGGGGAUGGGUACUGGAAUGUCCCAUCUCCGAAAGCGCUCAGCGCCCGAGGAUGGGUCUGCGGCGGAUUAGGUUGUUGGUGGGGUAACGGCCCACCAAGCCGAAGAUCCGUACGGGCUGUGGGAGCAGGAGCCCGGAGAUGGACCCUGAGACACGGGUCCAGGCCCUACGGGGCGCAGCAGUCGCGAAACCUCCGCAAUGCGGGAAACCGCGACGGGGUCAGCCGGAGUGCUCGCGCAUCGCGCGGGCUGUCGGGGUGCCUAAAAAGCACCCACAGCAAGGGCCGGGCAAGGCCGGUGGCAGCCGCCGCGGUAAUACCGGCGGCCCGAGUGGCGGCCACUUUUAUUGGGCCUAAAGCGUCCGUAGCCGGGCUGGUAAGUCCUCCGGGAAAUCUGGUCGCUUAACGAUCAGACUUCCGGAGGAUACUGCCAGCCUAGGGACCGGGAGAGGCCGGGGGUAUUCCCGGGGUAGGGGUGAAAUCCUGUAAUCCCGGGAGGACCACCUGUGGCGAAGGCGCCCGGCUGGAACGGGUCCGACGGUGAGGGACGAAGGCCAGGGGAGCGAACCGGAUUAGAUACCCGGGUAGUCCUGGCUGUAAACGAUGCGGACUAGGUGUCACCGAAGCUACGAGCUUCGGUGGUGCCGGAGGGAAGCCGUUAAGUCCGCCGCCUGGGGAGUACGGCCGCAAGGCUGAAACUUAAAGGAAUUGGCGGGGGAG
rnacentral:rRNA from 1 species